UAAUAGUUAUGUUCUUGAAACUCAAAGAAUUUGGCGGUGUUUUAGUCUUUUCAGAGGAACCUGUCCCGUAAUCGAUAAUCCACGUAGAACCUUGCUUAACUUAGUUUCAGCUUGUAUACCUCCGUCGUCAGAAUAUCCUUGUAAGGCUCAAAUUUUCUUAAAUUUUUAUUAAAAAUGAUGUCAGGUCAAGGUGCAGCUUAUGGUUAAGUGGAGAUGGGUUACAAUAAAUAUAUUUAAUACGGAUAAUGACUUGAAAUAGUUGUUUGAAGGUGGAUUUGAUAGUAAUUCAAUUUAUUAAGAUAGUUUGAUUUUAGCUCUAAAACAUGCACACAUCGCCCGUCGCUCUUA
rnacentral:rRNA from 1 species